rnacentral:rRNA from 1 species
AAAAACUCCGGUGGUACAAGAUGGACCCGCGUCUGAUUAGCUAGUCGGUAAGGUAACGGCUGUACCAAGGCGACGAUCAGUAGCCGACCUGAGAGGGUGACCGGCCACAUUGGGACUGAGACACGGCCCAAACUCCUACGGGAGGCAGCAGUGGGGAAUAUUGCACAAUGGGCGAAAGCCUGAUGCAGCGACGCCGCGUGAGUGAAGAAGUAUUUCGGUAUGUAAAGCUCUAUCAGCAGGGAAGAAAAUGACGGUACCUGACUAAGAAGCCCCGGCUAACUACGUGCCAGCAGCCGCGGUAAUACGUAGGGGGCAAGCGUUAUCCGGAUUUACUGGGUGUAAAGGGAGCGUAGACGGUAAAGCAAGUCUGAAGUGAAAGCCCGCGGCUCAACUGCGGGACUGCUUUGGAAACUGUUUAACUGGAGUGUCGGAGAGGUAAGUGGAAUUCCUAGUGUAGCGGUGAAAUGCGUAGAUAUUAGGAGGAACACCAGUGGCGAAGGCGACUUACUGGACGAUAACUGACGUUG